GAAGCUUGCAUCAUACCAGGAGGUGGAACUGCUGUGACAGCAUUGCAAACAGCACAACACACAGAAGUAGCUCCAACUGGAUAAACUAAAAGGUUUCUACAACCAGAACACACAAGUUGACUCUGUGCACCUGUGAGCCAAACAACAUUAGUUUCAUCAGCAUAAAGUAAUGAGAUGACUAAUGAGGAAAUCAAGCACAGACAAAAAGAAAAGGUAAGAUACCAUUUGUUGGAGGUGGUGUAUAUGGAGCUGGUGGUGGAGUUGGAUAAGGGGCAAGUGGAACUGGCAUUAUAAAACACUAAAUCAAAAAGUAUUUAUCUUUCUCUGCUAAAUUCUACAAAAAGAACAAAGCACUUCCUCCCAUUUUUUUUCAACACCU